rnacentral:rRNA from 2 species
AGAGUUUGAUCCUGGCUCAGGACGAACGCUGACGGUGUGCUUUAGGCAUGCAAGUCGAACGAGAAAGCCCUUCGGGGUGAGUAAAGUGGCGAACGGGUGAGUAACACGUGGGCAACCUGCCCCUCGCAGGGGGACAACCGGAGGAAACUCCGGCUAAUACCCCGUAAGCUCUACACGCCGCAUGGCGAGUAGAGGAAAGGUAGCUUCGGCCAUCCGGCGAGGGAUGGGCCCGCGGUGCAUUAGCUAGUUGGUGGGGUAACGGCCCACCAAGGCGACGAUCCGUAGCUGGUCUGAGAGGAUGACCAGCCACACUGGGACUGAGACACGGCCCAGACUCCUACGGGAGGCAGCAGUGGGGAAUAUUGGACAAUGGGCGAAAGCCUGAUCCAGCCAUGCCGCGUGAGUGAUGAAGGCCCUAGGGUUGUAAAGCUCUUUCACCCACGACGAUAAUGACGGUAGUGGGAGAAGAAGCCCCGGCUAACUUCGUGCCAGCAGCCGCGGUAAUACGAAGGGGGCUAGCGUUGCUCGGAAUCACUGGGCGUAAAGGGCGCGUAGGCGGCCGAUCAAGUCAGGGGUGAAAGCCUGUGGCUCAACCACAGAAUGGCCUUUGAUACUGUUCGGCUCGAGACCGGAAGAGGUUGGUGGAACUGCGAGUGUAGAGGUGAAAUUCGUAGAUAUUCGCAAGAACACCGGUGGCGAAGGCGGCCAACUGGUCCGGUUCUGACGCUGAGGCGCGAAAGCGUGGGGAGCAAACAGGAUUAGAUACCCCCGUAGUCC